AUGAACGCUAGCUACAGGCUUAACACAUGCAAGUCGAGGGGCAGCAUGAACUUAGCUUGCUAAGUUUGAUGGCGACCGGCGCACGGGUGAGUAACACGUAUCCAACCUGCCGAUGACUCGGGGAUAGCCUUUCGAAAGAAAGAUUAAUACCCGAUGGCAUAGUUCUUCCGCAUGGUGGAACUAUUAAAGAAUUUCGGUCAUCGAUGGGGAUGCGUUCCAUUAGGUUGUUGGCGGGGUAACGGCCCACCAAGCCUUCGAUGGAUAGGGGUUCUGAGAGGAAGGUCCCCCACAUUGGAACUGAGACACGGUCCAAACUCCUACGGGAGGCAGCAGUGAGGAAUAUUGGUCAAUGGACGAGAGUCUGAACCAGCCAAGUAGCGUGAAGGAUGACUGCCCUAUGGGUUGUAAACUUCUUUUAUACGGGAAUAAAGUGAGGCACGCGUGCCUUUUUGUAUGUACCGUAUGAAUAAGGAUCGGCUAACUCCGUGCCAGCAGCCGCGGUAAUACGGAGGAUCCGAGCGUUAUCCGGAUUUAUUGGGUUUAAAGGGAGCGUAGGCGGACGCUUAAGUCAGUUGUGAAAGUUUGCGGCUCAACCGUAAAAUUGCAGUUGAUACUGGGUGUCUUGAGUACAGUAGAGGCAGGCGGAAUUCGUGGUGUAGCGGUGAAAUGCUUAGAUAUCACGAAGAACUCCGAUUGCGAAGGCAGCCUGCUGGACUGUAACUGACGCUGAUGCUCGAAAGUGUGGGUAUCAAACAGGAUUAGAUACCCUGGUAGUCCACGCUGUAAACGAUGAUUACUAGGUGUGGGGGGUCUGACCCCUUCCGUGCCGGAGUUAACACAAUAAGUAAUCCACCUGGGGAGUACGGCCGCAAGGUUGAAACUCAAAGGAAUUGACGGGGGCCCGCACAAGCGGAGGAACAUGUGGUUUAAUUCGAUGAUACGCGAGGAACCUUACCCGGGCUUGAAUUGCAACUGAAUGAUGUGGAGACAUGUCAGCCGCAAGGCAGUUGUGAAGGUGCUGCAUGGUUGUCGUCAGCUCGUGCCGUGAGGUGUCGGCUUAAGUGCCAUAACGAGCGCAACCCUUAUCGAUAGUUACCAUCAGGUGAUGCUGGGGACUCUGUCGAGACUGCCGUCGUAAGAUGUGAGGAAGGUGGUGAUGACGUCAAAUCAGCACGGCCCUUACGUCCGGGGCUACACACGUGUUACAAUGGGGGGUACAGAAGGCAGCUACACGGCGACGUGAUGCUAAUCCCGAAAGCCUCUCUCAGUUCGGAUUGGAGUCUGCAACCCGACUCCAUGAAGCUGGAUUCGCUAGUAAUCGCGCAUCAGCCACGGCGCGGUGAAUACGUUCCCGGGCCUUGUACACACCGCCCGUCAAGCCAUGAAAGCCGGGGGUACCUGAAGUGCGUAACCGCGAGGAGCGCCCUAGGGUAAAACUGGUGAUUGGGGCU
rnacentral:rRNA from 1 species